rnacentral:rRNA from 1 species
UACGUAGGGUGCAAGCGUUAAUCGGAAUUACUGGGCGUAAAGCGUGCGCAGGCGGCCGCGCAAGUCGAGUGUGAAAGCCCCGGGCUUAACUUGGGAAUUGCGCUCGAAACUACGUGGCUGGAGUGUGGCAGAGGAAGGUGGAAUUCCACGUGUAGCGGUGAAAUGCGUAGAGAUGUGGAGGAACACCAAUGGCGAAGGCAGCCUUCUGGGCCAACACUGACGCUCAUGCACGAAAGCGUGGGGAGCAAACAGG